rnacentral:snRNA from 1 species
AGCUUUGCACAGUGGCAGUAUCAUAACCAAUGAAGUAAUCUGAGGUGUGAUUAUUACUACUUGAAAUCUGCUCCUUUCCUUGGUGGUAGAUGGUACAGUACUACUGGAAACAGUAGAAACUG